rnacentral:rRNA from 1 species
CCCUUAGAUGUUCUGGGCGGCCCGCGCACUACAUUGGCACUAGCAAAGAGAUCCUAGAUUGAAUUCUUUGGGGUAUUCUUCUAAAUGGUGUCGUGACUGAGAUAAAUCCUUGUAAUUAUUGGUUUUGAACGAGGAAUUCCUUGUAAUCGCGGUUUAUCAGCUCGCGUUGAAUGCGUCCCUGCCCUUUGUACACACCGCCCGUCGCUCCUACCGAUGGAUCGUCCGGUGAAGCUCACGGAGUGACUGUUCACGCAACGGUUUACGAAGUGAAAUGGACCUCACGAUUUAGAGGAAGGAGAAGUCGUAACA